GGGUUGUGAGGUUAAGCGACUAAGCGUACACGGUGGAUGCCCUGGCAGUCAGAGGCGAUGAAGGACGUGCUAAUCUGCGAUAAGCGUCGGUAAGGUGAUAUGAACCGUUAUAACCGGCGAUUUCCGAAUGGGGAAACCCAGUGUGAUUCGUCACACUAUCAUUAACUGAAUCCAUAGGUUAAUGAGGCGAACCGGGGGAACUGAAACAUCUAAGUACCCCGAGGAAAAGAAAUCAACCGAGAUUCCCCCAGUAGCGGCGAGCGAACGGGGAGCAGCCCAGAGCCUGAAUCAGUGUGUGUGUUAGUGGAAGCGUCUGGAAAGGCGUGCGAUACAGGGUGACAGCCCCGUACACAAAAAUGCACAUACUGUGAGCUCGAUGAGUAGGGCGGGACACGUGGUAUCCUGUCUGAAUAUGGGGGGACCAUCCUCCAAGGCUAAAUACUCCUGACUGACCGAUAGUGAACCAGUACCGUGAGGGAAAGGCGAAAAGAACCCCGGCGAGGGGAGUGAAAAAGAACCUGAAACCGUGUACGUACAAGCAGUGGGAGCACGCUUAGGCGUGUGACUGCGUACCUUUUGUAUAAUGGGUCAGCGACUUAUAUUCUGUAGCAAGGUUAACCGAAUAGGGGAGCCGAAGGGAAACCGAGUCUUAACUGGGCGUUAAGUUGCAGGGUAUAGACCCGAAACCCGGUGAUCUAGCCAUGGGCAGGUUGAAGGUUGGGUAACACUAACUGGAGGACCGAACCGACUAAUGUUGAAAAAUUAGCGGAUGACUUGUGGCUGGGGGUGAAAGGCCAAUCAAACCGGGAGAUAGCUGGUUCUCCCCGAAAGCUAUUUAGGUAGCGCCUCGUGAAUUCAUCUCCGGGGGUAGAGCACUGUUUCGGCAAGGGGG
rnacentral:rRNA from 1 species